rnacentral:misc_RNA from 1 species
AAAAGAUUCAAACCUCUUUGGGUAAAACCAAAGUUCAACCACUUGUCUACCGCAAAACGUAUGCUUCGGCAGCUGGCAUUGGGGCUUCUCAACGCCGUCAGCCUGCCGGCAGCACCAUUCAAACCAUUUUUUACAUGUGUCUGAACAUAUUAUUUUCGAAUGAAAAUUA